UUAACACACUUGGGAUUUUUAAAAGUUAGAAAGCCAAAUCCCCUAGAACGGCCAGUAGUACUAUCACGCAUAACCGUACAAUCGAGGACCUCUCCGAACUGCUCGAAAUAAUCACGAAGGGAAUCUGUAAAUCAAACAUUAGCAUUAAACCAAUAAAUUUACUCCUAAUAGUCUAAAUAGCAUAUAUGUACUUAGCACCUGACAACAGAAAGAAUAAAGCUUAACG